rnacentral:rRNA from 1 species
UGGGUUUGAUCCUGGCUCAGAACGAACGCUGGCGGCAUGGAUUAGGCAUGCAAGUCGAACGGUGCAGCAAUGACACCGUGGCGGAAGGGUGAGGAACACGUGAACAAUCUGCCUCUAAGUUGGGAAUAAGGUUCCGAAAGGAAUUUUAAUACCGAAUGUGGCUGUUGGACCGCAUGGUUUGGCAGCUAAAGAUUUAUCGCUUAGAGAUGAGUUCGCGUCCCAUUAGUUAGUUGGCGGGGUAACGGCCCACCAAGGCAGAGAUGGGUAGCUGGUCUGAGAGGACGAUCAGCCACACUGGGACUGAGAUACUGCCCAGACUCCUACGGGAGGCUGCAGUCGAGAAUCUUUUGCAAUGCGCGAAAGCGUGACAGAGCAAUGCCGCGUGCCGGAUGAAGGUCUUCGGAUUGUAAACGGCUGUCACCCGUGACGAAAAAUGACGGUAACGGGGGAGGAAGCCACGGCUAACUACGUGCCAGCAGCCGCGGUAAUACGUAGGUGGCGAGCGUUGUUCGGAUUUACUGGGCGUAAAGGGUUCGUAGGUGGUUUUCUAAGUUUGACGUGAAAUCCCGUGGCUCAACCACGGAACUGCGUUGGAGACUGGAAGACUAGAGUAUUGGAGAGGUAAGCGGAAUACCAGGUGUAGCGGUGGAAUGCGUAGAUAUCUGGUAGAACACCGAAAGCGAAGGCAGCUUACUGGACGAUAACUGACACUGAGGAACGAAAGCGUGGGGAGCAAACAGGAUUAGAUACCCUGGUAGUCCACGCCGUAAACGUUGUCAACUUGAUGUGGGGAGCCUCACGGCUUUCCGUGUCAAAGCUAACGCGAUAAGUUGACCGCCUGGGGACUACGGCCGCAAGGCUAAAACUCAAAGGAAUUGACGGGGACCCGCACAAGCGGUGGAGCAUGUGGCUUAAUUCGAGGCAACGCGAAGAACCUUACCUGGGCUUGAAAUCAUAUUGACGGUUUAUGAAAGUAAAUUUUCCGCAAGGACAGUAUGACAGGUGCUGCAUGGCUGUCGUCAGCUCGUGCCGUGAGGUGUUCGGUUAAGUCCGGCAACGAGCGCAACCCGUGUCAAUAGUUACCAUCAGGUAAUGCUGGGGACUCUAUUGAGACUGCCUGUGUUAAGCAGGAGGAAGGCGCGGAUGACGUCAAGUCAGUAUGGCCCUUACGUCCAGGGCUGCACACGUGCUACAAUGGCUGGUACAAUGAGAAGCGAUACCGCGAGGUGGAGCAAAUCUAUAAAACCAGUCUUAGUUCGGAUUGUAGUCUGCAACUCGACUACAUGAAGCCGGAAUCGCUAGUAAAGGCGUAUCAGCUACGACGCCUUGAAUACGUUCCCGGGUCUUGUACACACCGCCCGUC